rnacentral:rRNA from 1 species
ACGCUCGACACCUACGGGAGACAGCAGUAGGGAAUCUUCCACAAUGGACGCAAGUCUGAUGGAGCAACGCCGCGUGAGUGAAGAAGGUCUUCGGAUCGUAAAACUCUGUUGUUAGAGAAGAACACGAGUGAGAGUAACUGUUCAUUCGAUGACGGUAUCUAACCAGCAAGUCACGGCUAACUACGUGCCGCAGCCGGUCGGUAAGUUACUGAGGCGGGCGUCGGCGAACGGACG